GAUGAACGCUGGCGGCGUGCCUAAUACAUGCAAGUCGAGCGAACGGACGAGAAGCUUGCUUCUCUGAUGUUAGCGGCGGACGGGUGAGUAACACGUGGAUAACCUACCUAUAAGACUGGGAUAACUUCGGGAAACCGUAGCUAAUACCGGAUAAUAUUUUGAACCGCAUGGUUCAAAAGUGAAAGACGGUCUUGCUGUCACUUAUAGAUGGAUCCGCGCUGCAUUAGCUAGUUGGUAAGGUAACGGCUUACCAAGGCAACGAUGCAUAGCCGACCUGAGAGGGUGAACGGCCACACUGGAAGUGAGACACGGUCCAGACUCCUACGGGGGGCAGCAGUAGGGAAUCUUCCGCAAUGGGCGAAAGCCUGACGGAGCAACGCCGCGGGAGUGAUGAAGGUCUUCGGAUCGUAAAACUCUGUUAUUAGGGAGGAACAUAUGUGUAAGUAACUGUGCACAUCUUGACGGUACCUAAUCAGAAAGCCACGGCUAACUACGUG
rnacentral:rRNA from 1 species